AUUCUGCGAGAAAACUUCGCGGAGGACCCAUUGAAAAGAAAAAAACAUUGACUUCAGAUGCUCAGCAAUCAUCCCCCAAGGGUUACAGUUUCAAAGAAGGCGUAAGAACCUACUAUGUGAAGAACUACAUUUCCAUACAUACUGCAUACGAGGGUGACAACGAGCCAUAUUUAUACUGAUAUUUACAGACUCCUAAUUUGUAUAUAUAUCUGAGACCAAAACAUAGAAAUGACAGAGUUCCUUCAAUUCAUGAACCUCAUUUACAAGACUACUGGCGGUAGAAGGGAUAACAUAACGGAACUGCCAGAAUGUAUAUCAAAGAUACCCGAAUCUCUUUUCAUUACUACUUAUUAAUUCCAUCAGU